rnacentral:sRNA from 1 species
GUCAACUAUCCCACAUUCACCUUAGGGAGAGAACGCGGCUGGCGGGAAACCGAAAGUCUUGUUGACCCGCUUAAGUUCCUAACCACUGGAACUAAGGUAUUGGGGUCAUGACACCCACAAAUGUGUACCCGUUUGCAAUUCUAUCAUCUGACGUUAAACUCUUUAAAAUGGAUGCCAGGUUUUGCUAACCAGAAAACUGCGAUGAAUUCUAUAUUUUCACCCAUUCAAAAA